ensembl:lncRNA
UGUACGUCCCCAUUAUGAUGGAUUCCCACAAACGACUGGGCUCCAUUUCAAACGGGAGAACCUGUUUUGUGAUUUUGUAAGCUUGUCACUUAACCUUCUCACUGCUCAUCCCCAGUAAAGCAUAUACUGAACACACAGAAUGCACAGAAUAUACUGGGCAGUGUGUAUGUGUGUGUGUGUGUGUGUGUGUGUGUGUGUGUGUGUGUGUGUGUGUGUGUGUGUGUAGUGUGCGCUGCGGUUACAGGAAUGAAAACCUCACUGCGCCACAUUUUUUAAUUGUAUUUCUCUGGCGUUGUCUUCUCUAUGCAAAUUCAAAAGUGCGUUGUUGUUGGGUGACGUUUGUAAGUUUGCCAAAUCUUUCAGUGUCUGAUCGACUCAGUUGUUGGAGUAGGUUUAUAAAAAAAGUGUAUUUAGUAUUUAAAGAUGUAGAAUUCAGUAAAAGUUAAGACAAGCAUCUGUUACAGGAGGACUUUACUGUCCUAUUUUUAGGUGAAAGAUGUCGAUGUGUUGAACUCUCCACAGGCGUUCACUGACUCAGCGUCAGUGACUUUGACUUCUGGUGGAGCUGGUUGGUUUCACUCAGCCUCCGGGAUCAUAGUCGUUUUACAUAUCGAGUCAAAUAUCAGUAACAGCCCUGCUGCUUUUGAAUCAUAAUAUCUACACCAGUACUCCGAAUUGGAAAACAACAAUCUAUCGCAUCUACGUCUGGGGAAAUAUAUAUUCACUAAACCUUUGAUAGAUGGAUUAAAAGUGAAAUUCUGGCUGGAUGAGUGUACAAUUUUCUUGUCACUGCUUCGGACUGCGAAACCCUUGGAGAAGCCGGGUGUGCCUACAGAGUCGUGGUGGUAGAUGAGAGAAAUGAAGCUCCUGCGCGUAUUAGGUGCGUAUCUGCCUCUGUGUUGCAGAGGUUGCCAACCACUGCACCGCAGUCAGGGACCGUACAGUCCAGUGGUUAUUCGUACCCUGACCACGUACUUCAGAGUUUACUCAUUCUCCUUUGGCUGCAGGAUUUUGUGUGUGUGUGUGUGAGAGUGAGAGUGAGUGAGCGUUCUUUCAGUUAUAAUUGCUGCAGAUACAUGAGACACACACACACAUACACGCGCACACACACGCAUGCUUGACAGAAUGCAUGUGUGUGUGUGUGCACAUGUACAGUGCGACCAAACCAACACGGCUGCGUGAUGAUUAAUCACUGAACACAGUUUACCCUCCCUUGCUGAAACGGUAUCCGUAGUAAUUACACACGCACACCGACACGCAUCUCGCGUUAGGAAUUAUUUAGAAAGACGGAGAGAAAUAUAAAAAGACAGAGGAAUACAGAGAAAUAAGAGACCGUGGAUUUGAGUUUGAUUGUGAGUGACACCUCAGAACAAAGCAAUUAUUGAUUUCACUCUCUCAACAGCUUUUCUUAUUGCCGGUGCAAGUGUGAUUGUGUUAAGCGUAAUUCAGGGAAAACACCAAAGAACUGAUCCAUCACAUUAAUUACAGUCUAUUUGGAAAGUGCAGUUUAAAAUCCUGUGUUUUCGACGGUUAAGGUUGACGGACUUUGUACAGUUUACAAUUACUACGAAUGAUUUGUAGAUUUUUUUCAAUGAAAUGUAUGUUCUGUUGUAUUUAGUCAGGGCUGUCAUUGAUCUCCUCAUCAUCAAACACUCA